rnacentral:rRNA from 1 species
AGACCGUUGCAAAAUGCGAUAAGUGGUGUGAUAUGCAAGUCCAAAACUUAUACGUGAACCAUCGAAUUGUUGAACGCACUGCAUCGAGCCUUACCCAGGAACGAUACGCCCCAUUGAGCGUCAUUACGUCUUCGCGACACCGUCAUUUACCUGACGUGUCCGGGUUCGGGAUUCACAGCUCGCGCUGCGCUUCCUUAGAUACAUUGCUGCACACGGAUCGACAGUCUCCUUGUCAUAAAUGCCAGGGACGGCUUGAGAUGCGCAUGCAAGAUCGGUCUCUCGCGGACCUGAUCGAUCGCAACGGCCGGCUCACGCUGGUCCGCGCACUUCUACACAUGACCUCACGGGGGCGGGACGACCCGCUAGACUUAAGCAUAUUAAUCAGCGGAGGAAAAGAAACUAACAAGGAUUCCCCUAGUAACUGCGAGUGAACAGGGAUGAGCUCAAUGUGUGAAUCGGGUCGGGAUUAGCACCUUGCCCGAGUUGUGCACUAUAGACAGCGGAUCAGCGCUUGAAGACUCGUGGUGGAUAUCCGAUGAAACUCGGUGCUAUUAAGGGUCAUAGUCCUGUACUUGCCUUAUGAGUCUUUGCGCAUUUGACCGAUGUUCUGCGAGUCGCGUAGUUUUGUAAUGCUGCGCCAAUUUGGAGGUAGAGCCCUUCUAAAGCUAAAUAUGAUGACGUGACCGAUAGCACACAAGUACCGCGAGGGAAAGGUGAAAAGCAACCAUGCAGAAUGGGUUGAAACAGCAGUGAAAGCGCUACCGGGAUAAGGGCUGGGGAUUGCUUGUGUCGCUUGCGCGUGCUUCAGUGCUGUGCUCGCGGACGGCAUGCAUCGAUUAGGAUGGGGAGAACAGGGCCAUCGGGAAUUCGGCUGGAUCCGUCCAGUGUUGUAGCCCGGAGGUCAAUGGAGCCUCUUCUGACCGUUGAGUGUCUUGCGAUUGUCAGCCGCCCGUCUUGAAACACGG